CAUUUAUACAAAAGAAAGACGAUUAGACCCUAUUGAACUUAACUGUAGUUAAACUGGGGCAGUAAAUUAAUUAUUAUUUUAAUAAAAUAUUUUAUAUAAAUAUCUAAUAAAAUUAAAUAAUUCAGUUACCAUAGGGAUAACAGCGUAAUAAUUUUCUAAAGAUCUUAUUUAAAAUAUAGAUUACGACCUCGAUGUUGAAUUAAUAACCUAAUUAAGGCAAAACUUAAAAAAGGAAGUCUGUUCGACUUUUAAAAAAUUACAUGAUUUGAGUUCAGACCGGUGUAAGCCAGGUCGGUUUCUAUCUUCUAAAAAAUUUUUUACAGUACGAAAGGACCUAAAA
rnacentral:rRNA from 1 species